rnacentral:tRNA from 1 species
AAAAAUUUAGUUAAAAUAAUAACAUUAGCUUGUCAAGCUAAAAUUACAGCUUAAGCUGUAAUUUUUA